CUCAGGGAGGUAGUGACAAGAAAUAACAACACUGGAAAUUUUAUUUCUAGUGAUUGGAAUGAUGGGAAUUUAAACCCCUUUCAGAGUAACAAUUGGAGGGCAAGUCUGGUGCCAGCAGCCGCGGUAAUUCCAGCUCCAAUAGCGUAUAUUAAAGUUGUUGCAGUUAAAAAGCUCGUAGUUGGAUGUCUGCUGGAAGCAAUCAGUCCGCCCUAUUUGUAGGGUGUGCACUUGAUGAAUUCUGGCAUCUAUGUCCUAAUGUGAUAGAUACGGCGGUGUAUAUGGGUUAAUCCUAUAUACCCGUUUUUGUAUAUUAUGUUGGGAUAAUACCGUUACUUUGAGAAAAUUAGAGUGUUUGAAGCAGGCUAAUUGCCUUGAAUACUGCAGCAUGGAAUAACAAUAUAGGAUUUCGGUUCUAUUUUGUUGGUUUCUAGGACUGAAAUAAUGAUUAAUAGGGACAGUUGGGGGCAUUCGUAUUUAACUGUCAGAGGUGAAAUUCUUAGAUUUGUUAAAGACGAACUACUGCGAAAGCAUUUGCCAAAGAUGUUUUCAUUAAUCAAGAACGAAAGUUAGGGGCUCGAAGACGAUCAGAUACCGUCGUAGUCUUAACCAUAAACUAUGCCGACUAGAGAUAGGAAAAUGUCAUUUUUCUGACUU
rnacentral:rRNA from 1 species